UACGAAGGGUGCAAGCGUUAAUCGGAAUUACUGGGCGUAAAGGGUGCGUAGGCGGUUCGUUAAGUCUGUUGUGAAAUCCCCGGGCUCAACCUGGGAAUGGCAAUGGAUACUGGCGGGCUAGAGUGUGUCAGAGGAUGGUGGAAUUCCCGGUGUAGCGGUGAAAUGCGUAGAGAUCGGGAGGAACAUCAGUGGCGAAGGCGGCCACCUGGGCCGACCCUGACGCUGAGGCGCGAAGGCGUGGGGAGCGAACGGG
rnacentral:rRNA from 1 species